rnacentral:pre_miRNA from 1 species
AAUAUACUCCCUCCGUUCGGAAUUACUUGUCUCGGAAAUGGAUGUAUCUAGAACUAAAAUACAUCUAGAUACAUCUAUUUUUGCGACAACUAAUUCCGAACGGAGGGAGUAGUAG